CUGCAAGUCGGCCUCUCUCUCCGGCAGAAUCGGCUGUAGUGUGUGGUUUGAAUUUCGUCAGCAUUAUGGCCGUCAUUAUAACGUUGUGUUGUUUUUGGCAGCCAGACCGCACGCAUCCGUCAUAAAAUGACAUGCAUUUAUUGGUAUUUUGAUGGUGUCAUGAAGCUGGCUUUUCUUCUGAAUACUGGUCGGCCAGAGGAUGCUACUGAACUUUGUACUGCGUUGAGGGCAUGUCACAUCAAGUGGUGUCUGGGCUAGGUUCUCAUGUGACCUGAGCCUACCACAGGACUCCUCCCACUCACUGCCCUCAGGUUUGUUGAGGAUUUCAGUGAAGAGAAGAUGAAGUCUCUGAGACUGAUUCACCCAGAGUGGUGACUUCAUCAGGCUGCAUGUCCAUGACCAGACUGGUUGAUGGUUGCAGGGAGAUGGCCUCACCGUUAGCACUGCAGAUUCUUGCCUGCUCCCUAAACAUCAGGUGUCCAGUGUCGUACUUUUCCUUACAUUCUAUUCAACACGAAAGGACUUCACUUAAUUGACAUCAGCUGUAUGGUUUCUCCAGUGUGAAUCAUCUGAUAAAAAGAUUUUCCAUCGAGUGGUUCCUUUUUAAUUUGCUGUUGUAACUUUUACCACUUAUAGUUCUCAUCCCCAAUGCCACUCAUUUAAGCUGGUUCCAUUAAACAUGGCCAUUACUUAAAUUAUAUCCAGAGGUCCCCAGGUCUCAAUUCCAAUUGAGCUCAUUUAGAUUGUGGAGGAACGGGAGGUCUGCAACAAAUGUGUAAAUCUUCAAGAAACUGUGAUUCAUUGUGUUAGCUUGGGCUAAAAUCUAUACACGUUUCCACCUUGUUACUCCUGUUCAUUCAGGUCUAAACUGGUGGAUUUUUAUGCAGGCAUGUUCAGAUUUUUACUUAAUUCCAUUUCGAUUUGUCCAAUUUCCCACUAACCUUCCCUGACAGUGCAGCUGGUGGCAGCAGUAAGGCCUCUCUCCUGUGUGAACUCUCUGAUUUAUGGUUAUGCUUUUAGUUCUGGUAUCAUGCACAGCCUUAAUGUGUCACGGUUGUAUUCUCAUCACCUCUCCCUGGCAACAGGGACCUAAUGGUUCUACUUCACUUGUGAUUUUGAAAGUUCAAUAAAGUUGAGUCAAUUUUCUCA